CGUAAACGCUUUAAUCAGCGCGGCGCUUGUAACAAAGUAAACAAAUCAACGCGUUCUUCGAACUUGAAAGUUGACGGAGCUAAACCAAGGGGCUGAUUCGAUCUUUAAUCGAGCUGUCACAACCUGAAGAAAGGUUUAUCUGAAUCUUGGGAAAUCUGCAGGUAAAAUACCAGUAAGAUGUCAAACCUUAAAUGGAGCUUUAUUUUUGCCGGAUGGUACAUGUAAUUUAAAAAUUCUAUUUUUCCCUCAUCCAAUUCAUGAAAUGGCAUCCAUCCUAUUGUCAGUGCUGCCAGGGGAAAAACAGGAAUGGUGUAUUACAACCUAACACUGGAUGUUGAGAAGUUUGGCAGUCCUAUACAUUCACCAUGUUCUAAGUCUGAAAAAAUGUUCUGCUG